GAUGAACGCUGGCGGCGUGCUUAACACAUGCAAGUCGAACGAAGCACCUUGAUUUGAUUCUUCGGAUGAAGAUCUUGGUGACUGAGUGGCGGACGGGUGAGUAACGCGUGGGUAACCUGCCUCAUACAGGGGGAUAACAGUUAGAAAUGACUGCUAAUACCGCAUAAGACCACAGCACCGCAUGGUGCAGGGGUAAAAACUCCGGUGGUAUGAGAUGGACCCGCGUCUGAUUAGGUAGUUGGUGGGGUAACGGCCUACCAAGCCGACGAUCAGUAGCCGACCUGAGAGGGUGACCGGCCACAUUGGGACUGAGACACGGCCCAAACUCCUACGGGAGGCAGCAGUGGGGAAUAUUGUACAAUGGGGGAAACCCUGAUGCAGCGACGCCGCGUGAGCGAUGAAGUAUUUCGGUAUGUAAAGCUCUAUCAGCAGGGAAGAAAAUGGCGGUACCUGACUAAGAAGCACCGGCUAAAUACGUG
rnacentral:rRNA from 1 species